rnacentral:lncRNA from 1 species
AAGGCAUCCUUCAUCUGGUUUACUGUUUCCUUGAGACAGCUGGUCUCUGGGCUUGGUCGGCUGACAGCUUUGAUAGGAUUAUUGAGCACAGCUUUUCAUGCAAAAGAAACCUGGAGACCGGGGCAGUCUGCCCUUGGUUGGUCCAUCCAGGGGGCUGGGGUUGACAGGAGGCUCCUCUCAGCAGACGAGGGUCCGGUGAGCCUGACCCAGAGCCCCCGCAGCUGCUCCUGGGUGCAGCCAACGUGCUGGGCUUGGAGUAAAUGCUUAACUACAGAGACAGCAGCGAGGGUCUCAGGCACCCUUCCCUCUGUGUCUCCAUCCUUCCUGUGGUUCCAGCCCAGCCUCGACUCCCUGUUGGGGCCAGCCAUCUUGCCCCUUCUCCACCAAAGGACCAGAUUGCCUGAAGAUCUGCAGUACGGAGCUCAUCUCCCUCCUGCCUCCGGAACCCCCCAAGCUGUCUCCCAUCGGGGACAGCCUUUCGCCAAAGCCUGGAAAGAGAAAAUAAAAUAAAACUUGCUUGCUCCCCAGCAAACUCACCACAACUGGCACAUCCCAAGGAGAGCUCAUGGAUAGGACCACAGUGUCUGCCACCGGAAUCCUUUCUCCAUCAAGAAAUGACUCCAAGUUCUUAAGAAAUGGGACACCUCUUAAGGGGGCAAGUCGUAUAUCCUCAUCCAGAUAUGUGGGAAGUUCCGUGAAUAAAUCUGCAAAUAUCUUAAGAUGAAAUGUUCCUCUCCCCACCGGGAGCCCUGACUCUAGCGAAGGAAAGCUUGACCUCCAAGAGAUGAGCUGCUGUCCACCCCAUCAGCCCUCAACACCAGACCACCAGGAAGGACAGACGCUCAGGAGCCACAGCCGCUGCCACCAUCCCCUCAGACACCACGAACAGCCCCUUCACUGUUCCUGGCUGUGUCUGCCUCUAUGAGCUGCCCCCAAACUCCUUGCAGAUUUAGGAACUGAUGAAUAAAAAUGAGUAACACCUG